CCUUAUUUAGAGUGUUUCAAAAAAAAUCACAACCUCCUCCUAACAUUUCUAAUCUUAAAUAUGGCUUCCACUCUUUUAAAAUUAUCUUAAUCACCUCCCCACCACUACCACUACAACUACCAUUUUCCCUCAAUUCUACAACACCUUUAGACACAUCUCCUGAAGUGGAAUUAGUAUUCAAAUAAUUCUGAUGAGUUUGAGGUACUAUCUUUACCAGUUUAUCUGCAUUUAUGAUUUCUAGAAUCUUGUGACAUUGGCAUUGGCAACGGCCGUAGAAACGUCUUUCUUCUGGCUUUUAUGCUUUCUCAUGAUGUAUGCUUUUCCGGAGAAACAUGCAUCUUCUGAAUCCAUCUGAAAUGUCACAUGAAAAAAUAAAACCCAAUUUGGAAACUUAAUAUUUCUUAAAAGAGUUGAAAACAAUUUCAGAGAAGUUGAUUGAAAAAUCGAAAAAUUACGAAAAAAGGAAGAAGAGAAGAAUCAAAACUAUUACACACUUUUGUUACAUUUCAGAUGGAUUUAGCAGAUACACGUUUCUUUGGAAAAGUUUACACCUGGAGAAAUCGUAAAACACUGAAGAAAGAAAUUUUGUAUGGCCAUCGUCGCUGCCAAUAUGUCACCAAGGUUUCAAAAGCCCUAGAUGCAGAGAUUCCAGUAAUGGUAAUACCUCAAACUAAUUAGAAUGUUUUGAUUACUAAUUCCACCUCAUGAGAUGUGCCCAAAUGCGGCGUAGAAUUGAGGGAACUGGUAGUUGUAGUGGUGUGAAUUAGGUUACAAUAAGUUUAAAUGGUUCAAAGUCAAUAGGUGAGAUUAUUAAUAUUAGGAGGAGGUUAGAGGGUAAGCUAUAUCAUGUUAGGUUAAUAGUGAAGAAGAUUAGAGUUAAGGAGACUUCGAUGUAAAAUGGUAACAAAAAACGUAUUCUAGUUUUGAUUCCUCAUCAACCUAGUAUCUCUUGUAGAAAUCUACAAUGUACUAACUAUAUGAUUAAUAAAUCACCUACUCUUAAUUAAAAUCAUUGGAGUUAUAAAUUAUUUUUUGAAACACGCUGAAAAAGUUACAUCGACAGAGGCGUGACUGCUUCACUGCGAACUCUCUCUUAUAUAACAAGAGAACCUAUAGUAUGUAGUAUUAUACUAGCCCGUGUGUUUCUGAAUUUGAUUAAACUAAGAGGUCCUUUUUUUUUUGCUCUUUGGCAUGUUUAAACAUCGACGGACUUUAAUUAAUGGAAGUUUAAAUGUUGUGGUGGAAGGAUAAUUGUUGGGAAGAAUAUGAGACCUUUCUCUAGAGCUUUACCCAGCUUUGUAAUAUGGGAAUUAUGGAGAAAGAAUAACAAGAUGAAACAUAAAGGGAAGCAUCACUUGCACGAAUCACUCACAAUAUCACUAGGAACAUGUAUAUGUUGAUAAGACUAAGGAAACCCAGUAUGCCCUUUCUUAUUUAAUAGUCUGAUAUGAUGAUAGAGUGGAAAAGAUACAACUCUAAAUUGAAGAUGAUGAAUGUAUUAUCGAAAUUUCCACCAAAUGAGUGGGUGAAAUAUAAUACAGAUGGAGCCUUUAGGGAAAAUUCGUGUCGCAGUUCCUAUGCCUUUUGUUUGAGGAAUGAUAAUGGUGAUGAUAAAUAUGUUGAAUGAGAAAGCAUAGAACAUACUGCAAAUAUAGUCGCAGAAGCCAAAGCUAUACCAGAGACAUGCAAGCAUGGUUAACAUCACUAUACAAGCAAGUUAUUAUUCAAACUUACUCAAUGCUAAUGUACAAAGUGCAAGAAGGGAAGUGGGCACGUCCAUGCCUCAUUGUAGAAUUAGUGUCAUAAAUUCAAGCAUGUUUGCCAAAGAAACAAUUCAUUUCCCAUUACAUUUUAAUAGAUGGAAAUAAGUUAGCAGAUCAUUUUGCAAACAGAGCUAUUGACAAAGGGAUCUGCAAAUUCAUAAGUUGUAAUAGCAUGGAGACGGAGGUGAGGAAAAUCAUCAACAAUGAUAAACUACUAUGUUCGUACUCGAGGAUUUCACCUCUAAAUGGGAUAGGGGCAAGAACAGGCUACAACAUAGAAUUUUUCAUAAGCAACAUCAGUAGGAAACAAAAACAAGAAAAUUCUAUUUAGCUUACAUUAUUUCACCAACAAAAAGGACUCGAAAAAAUGGGGGAUAUGGAGUCGGGAAUGAAAUAGUUAAACCUACGAAAAAACAAGCAACACUCUUAAAGGGCAGUGGAAUAGAGCUAUCCUAGCACUUUGUCACAUUAACACAUGCAGAACGAUAAUGAGUAGCUUAUAGAGGAAAAGGAAAAGAAAGAAAGGAAGCGAGAGGACCUACCAAAUGAAGAGGCUUUCCUCCUUAAGACAAGAUCCGAGAGAAAAAAAAACAACAAGCACUACCCAUGGAACCUGAGAGCACAACUGAAAAAGAAAAAUGAAGUUAAAAGAAAGAAUGAAAAGCAGAAGAAUGGAAGACAAGCUCAAAUAAUAAGAUACUUACUCUUGAUAGUAAAUUUAUCAACAACCAGGAAACAAAUCAACAUCAUGUUGAUGAUCCAUAGCAAGCGGAAUUGGAGAGAUGGAUUAGUCCAAGGAGGCGAAAAUAUUUUGGUGAAGAAAUGGAAAUCAACUAAAGAGAAUGAGAAAGCGUCGAGGGGACAAAGAGAAGUGAAGAGGAACCAUUUAGAAAAUCCUGCUGUGAAAGAUAUAUAUAUUCAUCCAUGUUCAGAUUGGGUUGGGCCUUGGUGUUAUUCGUUGUCUAUUAUUUAUAUUUUUUUCAAUAAUGUGCUAGUGAGGGUUGGACUUUUCCCAUGGAAGUGUAAGGUGGUGUAAUUAUUUUGUAGUGUCAUAACUAAUAAAUCAAAAUUUGUCAAAAAUAUUAUUUCGUCAA